GACGAACGCUGGCGGCGUGCUUAACACACGCAAGUCGAGCGGAAAGGCCCUUUCGGGGGUACUCGAGCGGCGAACGGGUGAGUAACACGUGAGUAAUCUGCCCCUGGCUUUGGGAUAGCCACCGGAAACGGUGAUUAAUACCGGAUACGACCACUUCUCGCAUGGGAUGGUGGUGGAAAGUUUUUCGGCCAGGGAUGUGCUCGCGGCCUAUCAGCUUGAUGGUGAGGUAAUGGCUCACCAUGGCUUCGACGGGUAGCCGGCCUGAGAGGGUGACCGGUCACACUGGGACUGAGACACGGCCCAGACUCCUACGGGAGGCAGCAGUGGGGAAUAUUGGACAAUGGGCGGAAGCCUGAUUCAGCAACGCCGCGUGAGGGAUGACGGCCUUCGGGUUGUAAACCUCUUUCAGCAGGGACGAAGCGCAAGUGACGGUACCUGCAGAAGAAGCACCGGCCAACUACGUGCCAGCAGCCGCAGUAA
rnacentral:rRNA from 1 species